GGGGUGAGCAAAAACCGAGUCAAACCGAAAAACCGAACCGAUCCACACCGAAAUUGACAUUGGAGCGGUUAGAAUGGUUUAAAUGGAGUGGUUUGGUUUGAAGGCUGUGAAAAAAUCGGUUUCUGGAGUUGGUUUGGUUUUUCCUUUCGGUGACCGAACCGCACCGAGAAAAACCGAGACAAAAAACGACGCCGUUUUUCCUAAUUAUAACCUAUACUAUAAAUACCCCUUUAUUACCUCCUAACCCUAAAAAUUUUCUGCCUCACUUUCACUCACCUCAGUCACUCGCUGCGCUCCCUUCUUCUCUCAAAAAAAAACCCUAAUCCCUCCACCUUCUCUCCUCUCUCUACCACAAAACCCUUAAUCAGCAGUCCUUUUGUCAUGGAUCUUUACUCGUUUUUCUUGCGCUGCAAUCGAUUCUCAAUGUAACAUCCUCUGUUACUCUAUUCCAGCAAAUUAAUGGCUUAUUUUUCUUGUACUCGUUACGUUGUUGAUUCGUAAAGGAUGAAUCAAUGAUAUUUAUGCUGAUUUCUGGAGAAAUACAUCUGUUUAAGAUCCUGAUUCUUUAUAACAAAAAGACUUGAUUUUAAGGCUUUAGUGGAAGCUCUGAAACAUUGAUAACCAGAUGGAACCUGCCCCUGACCCUAUAAAUGAACAAUCUGAUCCUUUAAAUGGACAAGAAAUUGCCACUGUUGGACAAAAUGUGGAUGUGGAAGCAAAUACUAAUCCUGUUGCUGCUGGUGGGGAAAAUAUUGACGUGGAAGCAACUUCCAAAAAAAGAAAGGAACCUCACCAAAGAUCAGUGGUAUGGGACCAUUUCAACCCUAUUAAAGAUCCUGAUGG